rnacentral:sRNA from 1 species
AAGAAGAAGAAGAGGAAGAAGAAAAA